GCCGUGGGGCGGCAGAGCGGGUGGGAAGGACGCCUGGGAGCUGGACCCAGUCUCAGCGUGGCACUUCCCACAGGGCCGCCCAAGAGUGUCCCCGGCCGCGCCGUGCGCCCUGAGCCUCCCGCGCCGGCCCCCGCGGCCCUGGAACCCGCGCCGGUGGUGGCGCUGGUGUUGGCAGCCUUCGUGCUGGGCGCCGCGCUGGCCGCCGGGCUGGGCCUCGUCUGUGCGCACUCAGCGCCCCACGCCCCUGGCCCGCCCGCGAGAGCCUCGCCCAGCGGUCCCCAGCCCAGGAGGUCCCAGUGAGGAAGGGAUGGUGCGCCCCCAACGUGGUCGGGAGAUACACCCAGCUACCAAUUCGGGACCAGGACCAAGAGGACCGGACCCGCCUCCCUGGACCUCGGACCUGAUGGGGCCACGACCCCUGCGCUUCUCUCCUCCCCCUGUCCCUCCCACCUGUGCUCAAAAUAAACCUCUGGACUGAC
rnacentral:sRNA from 1 species